AUCUAUGGCAUACCACCCUGAACACGCCCGAUCUCAUCUAAUCUUGGAAGCUAAGAGGGGUUGGGACUGGUGAGUACUUGGAUGGGAGACUGAACAUGUCAGAUCUAAUUACACUGUCAUUGAUU
ensembl:rRNA 5S_rRNA 5S ribosomal RNA